rnacentral:rRNA from 1 species
CUGGCGGCGUGCCUACACAUGCAAGUCAACUUGACGGAAGGAGCAAUCUGACCGUAGAGUGGCGCAAGGGUGCGUAACGCGUAAGUAACUUGCCCCAAGGUAAGGAAUAACGUCGAGAAAUCGGCGCUAAUACCUCAUAAUGCAGCGGAUCCGCAUGGAUAUGUUGUUAAAGGUUUACCGCCUUGGGAUAGGCUUGCGUCUGAUUAGCUAGUUGGUGUGGUAACGGCACACCAAGGCUACGAUCAGUAACUGGUCUGAGAGGAUGAUCAGUCACACUGGAACUGAGACACGGUCCAGACUCCUACGGGAGGCAGCAGUGAGGAAUAUUGGGCAAUGCUCGAAAGAGUGACCCAGCAACGCCGCGUGGAGGAUGAAGGUAUUCUAUAUCGUAAACUCCUGUGAGAGCAGACGAAAGACAGAUUAUUAAUCUGGAUGACUGUAUGCUCAGAGGAAGCCCCGGCUAACUACGUG